CGGAAGGCCCUUCGGGGUACUCGAGCGGCGAACGGGUGAGUAACACGUGAGCAACCUGCCCUAGGCUUUGGGAUAACCCCGGGAAACCGGGGCUAAUACCGAAUAUGACUUCUGGUCGCAUGACCGGUGGUGGAAAGUUUUUCGGCCUGGGAUGGGCUCGCGGCCUAUCAGCUUGUUGGUGGGGUGAUGGCCUACCAAGGCGACGACGGGUAGCCGGCCUGAGAGGGCGACCGGCCACACUGGGACUGAGACACGGCCCAGACUCCUACGGGAGGCAGCAGUGGGGAAUAUUGCACAAUGGGCGGAAGCCUGAUGCAGCGACGCCGCGUGAGGGAUGACGGCCUUCGGGUUGUAAACCUCUUUCAGCAGGGACGAAGCGUAAGUGACGGUACCUGCAGAAGAAGCGCCGGCCAACUACGUGCCAGCAGCCGCGGUAAGACGUAGGGCGCGAGCGUUGUCCGGAUUUAUUGGGCGUAAAGAGCUCGUAGGCGGCUUGUCGCGUCGACUGUGAAAACCCGCAGCUCAACUGCGGGCCUGCAGUCGAUACGGGCAGGCUAGAGUUCGGUAGGGGAGACUGGAAUUCCUGGUGUAGCGGUGAAAUGCGCAGAUAUCAGAGGAACACCGGUGGCGAAAGCGGGUCUCUGGGCCGAUACUGACGCUGAGGAGCGAAAGCGUGGGGAGCGAACAGGAUUAGAUACCCUGGUAGUCCACGCUGUAAACGUUGGGCGCU
rnacentral:rRNA from 1 species